rnacentral:rRNA from 1 species
CGCGCAGGCGGCCAGGUCAGUCGAAUGUGAAAGCCCCCGGCUCAACUGGGGAGGGUCAUUCGAUACUGCCUGGCUUGAAGAUAGGAGAGGGAAGUGGAAUUUCAGGUGUAGUGGUGAAGUGCGUAGAUAUCUGAAGGAACACCAGUGGCGAAGGCGACUUUCUGGCCUAUUCUUGACGCUGAGGCGCGAAAGCUAGGGGAGCGAACG